GUGCUCACUUCAGCAGCACUUGUACUAAAACUGCAAUGAUGCAGAGGAAGGUGAGCGUGGCCCCGGUGCAAGCAUUGUGUGCAAAUUUGCAAAGUGUUCCAUAUUUUU